UGGCUCCCAACACCCUCCUGGAAGGCACCGGCAAGCUGUAUCCUCCAGCAAGUGCAAAGAAAUAGAGGCUGUAAACCCUAAAAAGCAGCACUGCUCAGUAUUUGUGUCUACAAUCCACCACCACAACACGGUGUUCUGAUCAAACCUGUCUGCUUUAAGGCUGGCAAUUUCACACCAUUUCAGCAUGACAGCUAGAAAGCAAAGACCUUGAUGGCCCAAAUAUUUUCUUGCGAUUUAUUCUGCGAGGCUCUGCAGGAGAAAGAAGCAGGCAGAUCUGCGGGAGCUGAGAUGCUGCUCUCCGGGCUGUGAAGCACACAAGGCUGAAUGCUCUGAGUGAAGCCCCUGGGGCAGAGUGCCAGGCUGGGGCUGCGGGGGGAACCAGGCGGGCAGAGCACUGCUCCUGGCUGCAGCUGCCACCAGACCUUACCUCGUCGCUCCUGCAGGGCUGGAGUUAAUAAAGUCCGUGAGUCAGCCAGACCCUCAGCGUGAAUGUCACUAAGCAGCGCAGCAUUACCUGCUGGUGCUCCUAGGAAGACUCUGUUUCCUCCUUCUGUCCCCAGGCCCAGCAGGGAGCUGUGACCUCGUUCCCGCCAGGCCCCGGGCAGAGCUGUGCCAUCUCUUUCCAGCAAAAGUGACAAUGCGUAGGAGGGGUGUGAAGCAGCAUGGAGCUCUGGGGGGAUUCACGCGUGGAGGGCAACAGCUUCCUGCUGCCCGUCCCCAGCCAUGAGGGACUUGGCCUCGUGGUGCAGCACGGGAACAUCACAGCGAGAGAGGGAGAUCCCUGCCCAGCAGUGGUGCUCACCUCGCUCAGCACCUCGGCGGCGUCAGCCAUGGGCUGCAGCUGGCCCAGCACCUGCAGAUCAGCAGGGAAGGGUUUCUCCUUCCUAUCCCCCUGUUACCUGGCAGGCUCUCAAGCCUUGACCUUCGUCCCCGUCCUCUCCUGCUACCCAAGAAGGGAAAUUUUUGGAGGAAGAUGUUUUCAGGCUUACUGCCUCCAGUUCCUGCUUGCUGUUAACCCAGCCACACAGCAGGGUCAGGAGGUGAAGACACCUGAGUUUCCAUCUUGCUCUUGCACCAGCUGGCCCUGA
rnacentral:lncRNA from 1 species